rnacentral:rRNA from 1 species
UACGUAGGCAGCGAGCGUUGUUCGGAAUUACUGGGCGUAAAGAGUGUGUAGGCGGUGCUCCCAGUCUGUUGUGAAAUCUCCCGGCUUAACUGGGAGGGUGCAGCGGAAACUAGAGUGCUAGAGGGUGGGAGAGGUAAGCGGAAUUCCUGGUGUAGCGGUGAAAUGCGUAGAUAUCAGGAGGAAUACCGAUGGCGAAGGCAGGUCUCUGGGCUAGAACUGACGCUCAUGCACGAAAGCGUGGGGAGCAAACAGG